GGAGCUCUUAUUACUUUUUGAGUGUCAGCAAGUUAAGACAUCAUCUCCAGAAAACUGUGCUAGUUGGCAUCCAGCAGUGCCCAAGUAUUAUUUAACCCACUAGAACCUGUGACUGCAUCAGCUUUAUAUCCUGGACCUCAGCCUGGAACAAAGGAGAGCUACACUUGGAUACUAAACACAAGUGGUCUGGAUAGAUUAUGCUGGGAAAAGAAGCCUGGAGCAGGCAGUACAGUGGGAGAACAAGACAGAAGUGCUUGCCUUGGUGAUCCAAAAAAGGCAGGAUCCGGCCGGGGGCAAGGUGAUUAUUCUGUCUGAUGAGGAGAAUAAGAGCCAGUUUGUGGUAUUGACAGAAGAAUGAAAGUAAAGUUCAACCAAUCUACAAAGGCCAAAAAUAUUUUCACAGGCCCCCAAAAGAUGAACUCCAAUCUGCUGCCCCUAAACGCAUUCUCCACUGUCUGGAAGAUGUGCAAAGGCAACGGCACAGCGUUCUCCAUCUCAAAUCCUUCAAAGUGCUGUCAGAAUAAAAGAAUCCCCACCAAAAGCCCCAGGGAAAUCUAU
rnacentral:lncRNA from 1 species